rnacentral:rRNA from 1 species
CCUACGGGAGGCAGCAGUGAGGAAUAUUGGUCAAUGGACGGAAGUCUGAACCAGCCAUGCCGCGUGCAGGAAGACGGCUCUAUGAGUUGUAAACUGCUUUUGUACAAGGGUAAACCUGAAUACGUGUAUUCAGCUGAAAGUACUUUACGAAUAAGGAUCGGCUAACUCCGUGCCAGCAGCCGCGGUAAUACGGAGGAUCCAAGCGUUAUCCGGAUUUAUUGGGUUUAAAGGGUGCGUAGGCGGAUUGAUAAGUUAGAGGUGAAAGGUUCGAGCUUAACUCGGGAACUGCCUCUAAUACUGUUGAUCUAGAGAGUAGAUGCGGUAGGCGGAAUGUAUGGUGUAGCGGUGAAAUGCUUAGAGAUCAUACAGAACACCGAUUGCGAAGGCAGCUUACCAAUCUAUAUCUGACGUUGAGGCACGAAAGCGUGGGGAGCAAACAGGAUUAGAUACCCCAGUAGUC